AUUGAACGCUGGCGGCAGGCUUAACACAUGCAAGUCGAGCGAGCAGCGGAAGGGUGAGUAAUGUCUGGGAAACUGCCUGAUGGAGGGGGCUAUAUACUGGAAAAGGUAGCUAAUACUGCAUACCAUCAGAUGUGCCCUGCCGGGAUUAGCUAGUAGGUGGGGUAAUAGCUCACCUAGGCGACGAUCCCUAGCUGGUCUGAGAGGCUGACCAGCCACACUGGAACUGAGACACGGUCCAGACUCCUACGGGAGGCAGCAGUGGGGAAUAUUGCACAAUGGGCGCGAGCCUGAUGCAGCCAUGCCGCGUAUGUGAAGAAGGCCUUCGGGGUGUAAAGCGCUUUCAGCGAGGAGGCGUUACUCGCAGAAGAAGCACCGGCUAACUCCGUGCCAGCAGCCGCGAUAAUUC
rnacentral:rRNA from 1 species